UACGUAGGGGGCAAGCGUUGUCCGGAAUCAUUGGGCGUAAAGCGCGCGUAGGCGGUCAGGUACGUCCGGUGUGAAAGUCAAAGGCUCAACCUUUGAAUGCCGCUGGAUACUGCUUGACUUGAGUCCGGAAGGGGCGAGUGGAAUUCCUGGUGUAGCGGUGAAAUGCGCAGAUAUCAGGAGGAACACCAAUGGCGAAGGCAGCUCGCUGGAACGGUACUGACGCUGAGGCGCGAAAGCGUGGGGAGCAAACAGG
rnacentral:rRNA from 1 species